rnacentral:rRNA from 1 species
UUUUUUAUAGACUGGAUUUAUAUAUUUAUAACUAAAAUUAGGUUAAAUUUUUUUUUUACAGAGUUAAAUAUUUAGAUUGAUGAAAGAUGUAUAAUAGUGACAGGGAUUAUAUACCCCAUUAAUGUACAUUGUAGCUUUGUCUUAAUUAAUAUAACUAAAAUAAUUUGGCAGUGAGCGACUCUUUUUAGGGGAAGGAGUGGUGUAAAGGAUGUUCCGCCUAAUAAUUUACUUUCGUUAUGUUGGUGUAUAUCUGGUUUAAUAUUAUCGUUGAGUAAGUGAGUUUGUGUAGUUUUAUUUAAGCCAAGUCUAUGUGCUGCUUAUGAAAGUAUUCAUGCGUUACAUUUAUAAGGUUUUGGUUGUAAUACUAAAAUAUUUAGGACUUAAAAGUAAUGUU